GUAUCACAUCAGAAAUAAAAGCCUAGAAAGGGUAGAUGUAAGAGCCGCAUGACAUGCUUGUUAUUGCUGAACUCCUGAUCAAGUCAGGCGCUUACUGUCACCAGUUUAGUUCUCUUUGCAGAAACACCAAGAUAUUAACAUGCUACGGAUGCUUUUUCUCUGCAUACUUUCAACAGUUUCUGUAAAAUGACACCCUCGCUCAACGAAGAACAAAAGUGUGCUUCAGCUGUGUGCUGUGCUCUCCCCCUCUUCGGAAACUGUAGCGUUUCCUGUGUUUCCAAGCUGCUCUCAGAACCAAGCUGCGGAGGAAGUGAGCGUAACAUUUCUGAACCUAAACUUCACAUCCUCGAGCCGUCGAAGGAAGAGAUUGUGCAGAAGAAGCGGGUGACCCUGGUGUGUCUGGCCACUGAUUUCUACCCGGAUCACAUUGAAAUCACCUGGAAGAUCAAUGGCAAGAACAGAGAGGACGGGGUUAAAACAGACGAUUAUGCAACCAAGGAUGACAAGAACACAUCCAGCAUCAGCAGCCGGCUAAGACUGACUCCGAGAGAAUGGUUUAACCCCAAGAACACCUUCACCUGCGCUGUGAAGUUCUACAAAGGAAACGGUUCAGAAACUGUAACUCCUGAAAAACACAUUUCUGGAAAGGAUGGUUGCGGUGUCACUUCUGACUCCAUGCACAAGGACUUGGGAGCAGCCCGAUUGACCUACCUCCUCAUGGUGUGUAAGAGCGUCCUGUACGGUCUGCUAGUGACGGCGCUGGUGUGGAAGCUGAAGCCUAAAAUUGAGAAGCGGUUCAACUGAAAGGAUGAGUCUGUGUGAAAACCAGAGAAAUACCUGCUGCCUGCAGACUAAAGUAUAUAGCUGUGUGCACACAUAUCUUACUGUAGGAUUUAUAAACUGCUAAUUUCGCACUGUUGCAUUGUGUGUGUAUGUGCGUGUGUGUGUGCACGUGUG